rnacentral:tRNA from 1 species
GGUCGGGUGGCCGAGUGGCUAGGCAGAGCUCUGCAAAAGCUUCCACAGCGGUUCGAAUCCGCUCUCGACCU